rnacentral:rRNA from 1 species
ACGCUGGCGGCAGGCCUAACACAUGCAAGUCGAGCGGAUGAGAGGAGCUUGCUCCUGGAUUCAGCGGCGGACGGGUGAGUAAUGCCUAGGAAUCUGCCUGGUAGUGGGGGACAACGUUUCGAAAGGAACGCUAAUACCGCAUACGUCCUACGGGAGAAAGCAGGGGACCUUCGGGCCUUGCGCUAUCAGAUGAGCCUAGGUCGGAUUAGCUAGUUGGUGAGGUAAUGGCUCACCAAGGCGACGAUCCGUAACUGGUCUGAGAGGAUGAUCAGUCACACUGGAACUGAGACACGGUCCAGACUCCUACGGGAGGCAGCAGUGGGGAAUAUUGGACAAUGGGCGAAAGCCUGAUCCAGCCAUGCCGCGUGUGUGAAGAAGGUCUUCGGAUUGUAAAGCACUUUAAGUUGGGAGGAAGGGUUGUAGAUUAAUACUCUGCAAUUUUGACGUUACCGACAGAAUAAGCACCGGCUAACUCUGUGCCAGCAGCCGCGGUAAUACAGAGGGUGCAAGCGUUAAUCGGAAUUACUGGGCGUAAAGCGCGCGUAGGUGGUUUGUUAAGUUGGAUGUGAAAUCCCCGGGCUCAACCUGGGAACUGCAUCCAAAACUGGCAAGCUAGAGUAUGGUAGAGGGUGGUGGAAUUUCCUGUGUAGCGGUGAAAUGCGUAGAUAUAGGAAGGAACACCAGUGGCGAAGGCGACCACCUGGACUGAUACUGACACUGAGGUGCGAAAGCGUGGGGAGCAAAC